CCUACGGGUGGCAGCAGUCGAGAAUCAUUCACAAUGGGGGAAACCCUGAUGGUGCGACGCCGCGUGGGGGAAUGAAGGUCUUCGGAUUGUAAACCCCUGUCAUGUGGGAGCAAAUUAAAAAGAUAGUACCACAAGAGGAAGAGACGGCUAACUCUGUGCCAUCAGCCGCGGUAAUACAGAGGUCUCAAGCGUUGUUCGGAAUCACUGGGCGUAAAGCGUGCGUAGGCUGUUUCGUAAGUCGUGUGUGAAAGGUGCGGGCUCAACCCGCGGACGGCACAUGAUACUGCGAGACUAGAGUAAUGGAGGGGGAACCGGAAUUCUCGGUGUAGCAGUGAAAUGCGUAGAUAUCGAGAGGAACACUCGUGGCGAAGGCGGGUUCCUGGACAUUAACUGACGCUGAGGCACGAAGGCCAGGGGAGCGAAAGGGAUUAGAUACCCUAGUAGUC
rnacentral:rRNA from 1 species